GACGAACGCUGGCGGCGUGCUUAACACAUGCAAGUCGAACGAGUGGCGGACGGGUGAGUAAUGCUUGGGAAACUGGCUGAUGGAGGGGGAUAACUACUGGAAACGGUAGCUAAUACCGCGUACCAUAGGAUGUGCCCAGAUGGGAUUAGGUAGUGGGUGGGGUAAAGGCUCACCUAGGCGGCGAUCCCUAGCUGGUCUGAGAGGCUGACCGGCCACACUGGGACGGAGACACGGUCCAGACUCCUACGGGAGGCAGCAGUGGGGAAUAUGGCACAAUGGGGGCAAGCCUGAUGCAGCCAUGCCGCGUGUAUGGAGAAGGCCUUCGGGUGGUAAAGUACUUUCUGCGGCUAGGCGUUAGCUGCAGAAGAAGCACCGGCUAACUCCGUGCCAGCAGCCGCGGUAAUUC
rnacentral:rRNA from 1 species